UCUUGCGCAAUGCCCUAUAGAAACAUGGCUGCAACAGCCAGAAGUAAAACCCGGUGCUCUGCAGCAGAUGCUCAUAGCCACUUAGCAUCGGUGCUUAGCAUAGGUGCCACUUUGCAUAGGUGCUUGCCAAAAUAGAGCAUUUGUUAGCAGUCACAGAUUACUUCUGAAAAAAAAAAAAUGAAAGCUCACUAUUUAUUGAAACCAGAAACUCGUGCCAGCAUCCCUUGUUUUAAAAGAAGAUAUAAACAGUCAAACUCGUUCCAACAAACCUCAAUUUAACGAAAUUUGGGACGUAACGAAGUAUUUUUAUUUCCCAACCUUAGUUCAAUUGAAUUAACGAAACCUCGAUACAACAAAAUUCUUCAUAUAACAAUGUUUUUCGCUGCAAGUACAACUUUGAUAUAUUGAGGUUUGACUGUAUAUGAAAACAGUUUCUAAGCCUUCCUGGAAUUUAAUCAUUUUCACCUGAGUAAACACUAGGUUACCCAUGUGCUGACCCUACUUGACCAAAACUGAUAAUGCCCAAAUAUUGCACACAGUGGACUUUAACUGAGUACUAUCAUUAAAUGCUUUAUUAUGCAUUUAUUUUGCAGGCU
rnacentral:lncRNA from 1 species